rnacentral:rRNA from 1 species
AGGAUUAACGCUGGCGGCGUGCAUGAAACAUGCAAGUCGAGCGCGGUGUGAUGAGGGGUAACCCAAUUCACAUCUAGCGGCGAACGGGUGAGUAACACGUGAGCAACCUACCUUUGAGUUGGGGAUAGCCCUGGGAAACCAGGAUUAAUACCCGAUGUGGUCACAACAGGACAUCCUGAUGUGAGUAAAGGCGUAAGCCGCUCAAUGACGGGCUCGCGGCCUAUUAGCUUGUUGGUGGGGUAACGGCCUACCAAGGCGAUGAUGGGUAGCUGGUCUGAGAGGACGAUCAGCCACACUGGGACUGAGACACGGCCCAGACUCCUACGGGAGGCAGCAGUUAGGAAUUUUCGGCAAUGGGGGCAACCCUGACCGAGCAACGCCGCGUGCAGGACGAAGGUCUUCGGAUCGUAAACUGCUUUUCUGUGGGAAGAGAACGGACGGUACCACAGGAAGAAGCCCCGGCUAACUACGUGCCAGCAGCCGCGGU